rnacentral:rRNA from 1 species
AUUGAACGCUGGCGGCAGGCCUAACACAUGCAAGUCGAGCGGAUGAGGGAAGCUUGCUUCCCGAUUUAGCGGCGGACGGGUGAGUAAUGCCUAGGAAUCUGCCUAUUAGUGGGGGAUAACGUUCCGAAAGGAACGCUAAUACCGCAUACGUCCUACGGGAGAAAGUGGGGGAUCUUCGGACCUCACGCUAAUAGAUGAGCCUAGGUCGGAUUAGCUAGUUGGUGAGGUAACGGCUCACCAAGGCGACGAUCCGUAGCUGGUCUGAGAGGAUGAUCAGCCACACUGGAACUGUGACACGGUCCAGACUCCUACGGGAGGCAGCAGUGGGGAAUAUUGGACAAUGGGCGAAAGCCUGAUCCAGCCAUGCCGCGUGUGUGAAGAAGGUCUUCGGAUUGUAAAGCACUUUAAGUUGGGAGGAAGGGUUGUAAGCUAAUAUCUUGCAGCUUUGACGUUACCAACAGAAUAAGCACCGGCUAACUCUGUGCCAGCCGCCGCUGUAAUAC